UAGGGAAUCUUCCACAAUGGGCGAAAGCCUGAUGGAGCAACGCCGCGUGUGUGAUGAAGGCUUUCGGGUCGUAAAGCACUGUUGUAUGGGAAGAACAGCUAGAAUAGGAAAUGUAUUUUAGUUUGACGGUACCAUACCAGAAAGGGACGGCUAAAUACGUGC
rnacentral:rRNA from 1 species